AAGUAAGUUCAGUAUAACAGGAAGCACAGUCCGAGAUAGUCGACAGUCUGAAACGAUUGCAAAUAUCGACACAAGUUAAAUUCUAUAACGUAAAGUCAUGGUCCUAGCAAUGAUUAUAAUGUGAAACAAUUAUUGAAGGCGGUGGAAGACAUCAGUAAAGAUGCAAAAGACGUUCCUAUCAUCGAGGAAAAAAUCACAGAAGUAGCAGAAAACAUAAACAGCUUAAACAUGGAAGCAGGAAAGAAACUGAGUUGCUACGUGAUUGCUCAUUUUUCGCUAUCAAAAAUAUGCAACGAAGUGGAUGAAAUAAUAAGUCAUCGUUACAAAACAGAAAUAGAAAAUGGAAAGUAUAGGCACUUUUCUAGAAUGUAUCAAAUCAUCCGAUUACGAUGUGGACAAAUUGAUGAAAUUACUUUUUGAUGAAUUCAGCUUAUAUCAAGACGAAAUAAAAUACGAUGGCAAAAAGGUUUGUUUUCUUAUCAAAGCGAGAUCAUUGGUGAGCAACAUAUGGAAAUAUUUUGAUGAAAGACUUGAAUUUGAACUGAACACAGAAAAGCUGAUGUGUCUACGAUAUUCAUUGAUUAUCGUAUUCCUCAAUUAUUGCUUAAUGUUAAACUUUUGCGCUACAGUGACGUACUCGUGAAGAGAUUUGAAAAUAACAAUGAACUACUUGAGCAUGGAAGCAGGGAAGAAAUAGAGAUACGCGGUUGUUCACUUUUCGCAACCAAAGAAAUAUGCAAAGAAGUGGUUAGAUAACCAAGCCAGCAUCGCCUACAAAAAAACCGUCUUCUAAACCGUAUUUUUAAGUUAAAAACCGCGUUCAACCCACAGAUUUUAGAUGAUAAUUUUAUACUCAUAGAAACAGAUUAUUUCAUAACUCGAA